AGCGCAUAUUGCGCUCUUUGGUAUUCCGAAGAGCAUGCUUGUUUGAGUAUCAGUAAACACCUCAAAUCCUUCAAUUUGUUUUGAAGGCUUUGGACUUGAGCAAUCCCAACACCAGUCUUUACGAUCGGUGGAGGGUUGCUUGAAAUGCAGGUGCAGCUGGACAUUCUCCUGAGCUAUAAGCAUAUUUAUUUAGUCCCGUCAAACGGAUUAUUACUUUUGCUGCAGCUAACAUAAAGGGAGUCUGACCAUAUUGGCUGACUGAUGCAGGAUUUCACAAGGGUCGGCAACGAUUCUUGUAAAACUCGAUCUCAAAUCAAGUAAGACUACCCGCUGAACUUAA
rnacentral:misc_RNA from 1 species